GUCACUUUGCCGGAGUGGUUAACGGGAUGCCCUGCUAUUGCAGCUAUAGGCAUUGGGCUUUGCCCGCGAGUGUUCGAAUCGCUCAGGUGACG